UACGAAGGGGGCUAGCGUUGCUCGGAAUCACUGGGCGUAAAGGGCGCGUAGGCGGAUCUUUAAGUCGGGGGUGAAAGCCCAGGGCUCAACCCUGGAAUUGCCUUCGAUACUGAAGAUCUCGAGACCGGAAGAGGUGAGUGGAACUGCGAGUGUAGAGGUGAAAUUCGUAGAUAUUCGCAAGAACACCAGUGGCGAAGGCGGCUCACUGGCCCGGUUCUGACGCUGAGGCGCGAAAGCGUGGGGAGCAAACAGG
rnacentral:rRNA from 1 species